UGAGCUGGGCUUGGGUAGCUGCAGUCAAUCUGUCCCACUUGCUUCUCAUCCUCUCUGGGGGCUGAGGGCCCAUGCGACUUCUUCUCAUGGUGAAGAGAGAGGUGCAAGAUGGCGAGUCGCAUGAUGUUGGAAGAAUCUCCUGAGUUCUGCUCUCAACCUCUCCAAAGCCUCUGACCCUCCACAGCGGUGACCUCUUUCCUCUGCUCACCCAGAAACCUGGAAGCAAAGCCAUCCUUAAUGUUUCCCUACCUCCAACCACACAGGCUGACACUCCGGGGGAAAUGCUGCCGAUUUUACCCACUCGUUCCUCUGAAAAUAACUGCACAGACUACCUGCCAAGUUUCCGGAACAGAACAAGUGCUGAGGAGUAGGGAACUGAUGGAGAGAUGGAGUUCUGCGUAACAGGAAGUGAACCACAUUGC